rnacentral:lncRNA from 7 species
CUUUUCUCUUAGGACUCUUUGACAUAUUACGGACAGCACCGGAAAACAUUGGUCUUUAAUAAAUAAUGUACAAACACAUGGACACACUUCUUGAGCAGCAAGAGGUCAAACAAGAUAUUACAGUGAUAUCCCAUGGUGCGAAAAUAUGUGGAAAUAAUGACUGUUGUCAUCAACAAGCACUCUGUAUGCAGGAACGUGGCAGAGGAAAAACCCUUCAGUUCCCAGCUCCAUGAGUGGAGAAGGCAGAAGAAGGCGUACUCAGUCAACAGCGACCCUAUUGCUUCCACUACCACACCUGAAGACCUAGGAUCCUGAGUCUGAAAUGAAGCCCUCUUCUGUAGAUGUGUAGCCCCUCAGGUUUGAGUUGUUGUUUGCUACAUGGUGCAAUGUGACUGCAAUAGCCAAAGACAACUAUGAUAGUUGAGAUCUUUAUGGAGUGGAAGCCCUUAGUUUGGGUUUGAUGCUGGUUCACACUCUGAACUAUUCAUAGCUCAGAAGACAGCUCAUCCUGGGACAUGCAAUGCUCUCAACUAACUGCAGUGACUAACUCUGUACACACAGUUCUGCCAGAGCAAAUGAGAAGAAGGACAUCAUUGCUUUGGUUUCAGCAGAAGAAACUGAAGAGAAUUUAAUACUUCACAUGAUAGUAUGUAGAAACUUCGGCUUGACCCUAUCUUAGCUGACUUGUAGCUACUCAUCAAAGCCUGGUAUUACAGCUAUACUGCAGAACUGUAAGGAUAUAUCCUUACCUAUUGGCUGAGUCAAGCUUUCAUGCAGAUACCUCUAUCAAAACUUCCCACUCACAAACAAAAUAUUGUUACUUGAUAGAGUUAAGUAGGCCAAGUGCAUAUUGGGAUCUAUAGACUUGUGAAUGUUCAGGUUCCUCAGGUGGUCACAAACCUAAUCUUUGUUUAUAGGGGAAGGGAUAUUGCUUCCUUGAUCCCCUCCUUCUAAACAAAAUGUUU